rnacentral:rRNA from 1 species
UACGUAGGGUGCAAGCGUUGUCCGGAAUUACUGGGCGUAAAGAGUUCGUAGGCGGUUUGUCGCGUCGUUUGUGAAGACCAGCAGCUCAACUGCUGGCUUGCAGGCGAUACGGGCAGACUUGAGUACUGCAGGGGAGACUGGAAUUCCUGGUGUAGCGGUGAAAUGCGCAGAUAUCAGGAGGAACACCGGUGGCGAAGGCGGGUCUCUGGGCAGUAACUGACGCUGAGGAACGAAAGCGUGGGUAGCGAACAGG